AUGCUUGGCAGCACAUAUACUAAAACUUAGAAUCAUACAGAGAUUAACAUAGUCCCUGUGCAAGGAUGACAUGCAAAUUUGCGAAGCAUUCCAUAGAUAG
ensembl:snRNA U6 U6 spliceosomal RNA